AGAGAAAUUGUAUAUACAUUUAAUAAAUAUAUAUGAAUAAGUAAAAGUGCGCUACACUGGUAUCUAUAUGUGGCAUAUAUAAUAAUUAUAUUUUUCACAUUCGUUCUAUCUUUUGAAAAGUGCACGAAAUGCUCUAAUUGAAUCGAUCGAUUUGCAGAAAGCGCAAAAGUUAUCGAUAGUAGAUGUGAUCUAUGUGUGCGAUAGCAGGACACAUACGUGUGCAAGGCUUUAAGAGGCGAACGGGAAAACUGAAAGGCGGCUAGACAGACAUACAGAUAGAUCUAUUGAAGAUUUGGCCACGCCUUCUUGAGCAUGUUACAUGCACAUAAACAAACACAUCCCACCCGUUGACCUCACAGACUACAGGGUACACAAAUACUACUGCAUCACAGCUCACCUGGUCAAUUCGGCUUUUUGUGCUGGCCGAGCAUACGUCGGCGUUAUGGCAUAGAUUUUGGGCAACGUGUCCGCUUGAGCUUUGCUGUACAUCGCCUGCAGGUAAGCGGGGCCCUGGCAGGUGUGUUUGCCGUUGCGAUGAACCAUUAGCAGCACAACAAUGAACACGAUGAUCAGCACGAGCACUUGCCGUGGACGAAUGCGUACCUCGGACAUCUCAGCAUCUAAUUUCGCAAAGGCUACUCCAAAAACUCAGCGCACGUCUCACGCACAGACACU